rnacentral:ncRNA from 2 species
CGGACGAAACAGGGGUGUCCCUGCCAUUGGGGCAGGCGGCUGAGAAAGACCCUCACACCCGAUCCAGAUCAUGCUGGCGUGGGAAGUUUCAGGCCUCGGUGC